ACCAGACUCCUACGGGAGGCAGCAGUGGGGGAUAUUGCACAAUGGGGGGAACCCUGAUGCAGCGACGCCGCGUGGGUGAAGAAGCGCCUCGGCGCGUAAAGCCCUGUCAGCAGGGAAGAAAAUGACGGUACCUGAAGAAGAAGCCCCGGCUAACUACGUGCCAGCAGCCGCGGUAAUACGUAGGGGGCAAGCGUUAUCCGGAUUUACUGGGUGUAAAGGGGGCGCAGACGGCGAUGCAAGCCAGGAGUGAAAGCCCGGGGCCCAACCCCGGGACUGCUCUUGGGACUGCGUGGCUGGAGUGCAGGAGGGGCAGGCGGAAUUCCUGGUGUAGCGGUGAAAUGCGUAGAUAUCAGGAGGAACACCGGUGGCGAAGGCGGCCUGCUGGACUGCAACUGACGUUGAGGCUCGAAAGCGUGGGGAGCAAACAGGAUUAGAUACCCGCGUAAG
rnacentral:rRNA from 1 species